UACAGAGGUCUCAAGCGUUGUUCGGAUUCAUUGGGCGUAAAGGGUGCGUAGGCGGCGCGGUAAGUCGGGUGUGAAAUCUCGGGGCUUAACUCCGAAACUGCAUUCGAUACUGCCGUGCUUGAGGACUGGAGAGGAGACUGGAAUUUACGGUGUAGCGGUGAAAUGCGUAGAUAUCGUAAGGAAGACCGGUGGCGAAGGCGGGUCUCUGGACAGUUCCUGACGCUGAGGCACGAAGGCCAGGGGAGCGAACGGG
rnacentral:rRNA from 1 species